UCGAUUCCCUUAGUAGCGGCGAGCGAAACGGGAAGAGCCCAAACCAACAAGCUUGCUUGUUGGGGUUGUAGGACACUCUAUACGGAGUUACAAAGGACGACAUUAGACGAAUCAUCUGGAAAGAUGAAUCAAAGAAGGUAAUAAUCCUGUAGUCGAAAAUGUUGUCUCUCUUGAGUGGAUCCUGAGUACGACGGAGCACGUGAAAUUCCGUCGGAAUCUGGGAGGACCAUCUCCUAAGGCUAAAUACUCUCUAGUGACCGAUAGUGAACCAGUACCGUGAGGGAAAGGUGAAAAGCACCCCGGAAGGGGAGUGAAAUAGAACCUGAAACCGUGUGCUUACAAGUAGUCAGAGCCCGUUAAUGGGUGAUGGCGUGCCUUUUGUAGAAUGAACCGGCGAGUUACGAUUUGAUGCAAGGUUAAGCAGUAAAUGUGGAGCCGUAGCGAAAGCGAGUCUGAAUAGGGCGUUUAGUAUUUGGUCGUAGACCCGAAACCAGGUGAUCUACCCUUGGUCAGGUUGAAGUUCAGGUAACACUGAAUGGAGGACCGAACCGACUUACGUUGAAAAGUGAGCGGAUGAACUGAGGGUAGCGGAGAAAUUCCAAUCGAACCUGGAGAUAGCUGGUUCUCUCCGAAAUAGCUUUAGGGCUAGCCUCAAGUGAUGAUUAUUGGAGGUAGAGCACUGUUUGGACGAGGGGCCCCUCUCGGGUUACCGAAUUCAGACAAACUCCGAAUGCCAAUUAAUUUAACUUGGGAGUCAGAACAUGGGUGAUAAGGUCCGUGUUCGAAAGGGAAACAGCCCAGACCACCAGCUAAGGUCCCAAAAUAUAUGUUAAGUGGAAAAGGAUGUGGCGUUGCCCAGACAACUAGGAUGUUGGCUUAGAAGCAGCCAUCAUUUAAAGAGUGCGUAAUAGCUCACUAGUCGAGUGACACUGCGCCGAAAAUGUACCGGGGCUAAACAUAUUACCGAAGCUGUGGAUUGUCCUUUGGACAAUGGUAGGAGAGCGUUCUAAGGGCGUUGAAGCAUGAUCGUAAGGACAUGUGGAGCGCUUAGAAGUGAGAAUGCCGGUGUGAGUAGCGAAAGACGGGUGAGAAUCCCGUCCACCGAUUGACUAAGGUUUCCAGAGGAAGGCUCGUCCGCUCUGGGUUAGUCGGGUCCUAAGCUGAGGCCGACAGGCGUAGGCGAUGGAUAACAGGUUGAUAUUCCUGUACCACCUAUAAUCGUUUUAAUCGAUGGGGGGACGCAGUAGGAUAGGCGAAGCGUGCGAUUGGAUUGCACGUCUAAGCAGUAAGGCUGAG
rnacentral:rRNA from 1 species